ACCCCAGGUCAGGCGGGACUACCCGCUGAGUUUAAGCAUAUCAAUAAGAGGAGGAA
rnacentral:rRNA from 1 species